rnacentral:lncRNA from 1 species
UGGGACUGUGUUCUCUGCUUGGUUGGUCCUCCCAUGGGGAACAGCUGCACAGCUCCUGCAUGACCUCCAGAUCUUUCAGGAAGCUAUACUGAGCAUGCAGAGUGCUGGAAGUCAUUUAUUGCUUCUAAUCCAAGGACACUGGCUGGUCACCUGCAGUGAUGAGGAAGAAACUGUCUAUCAAAUUAUGAAGCAGUUUCUCUGUGAAUCGGUGCAUGUGGACAACUAGAAGAACCAAAAGUCUAAUCCAAGGUCCACUUAAUCUGCGGG